AACGAACGCUGGCGGCAUGCCUAACACAUGCAAGUCGAACGAGACCUUCGGGUCUAGUGGCGCACGGGUGCGUAACGCGUGGGAACCUGCCCUUAGGUUCGGAAUAACUCCCCUAAAGGGGUGCUAAUACCGGAUAAUGUCUUCGGACCAAAGAUUUAUCGCCUUUGGGUGGGCCCGCGUUGGUUUAGCCGGUUGGUAGGGUAAGAGCCUACCAAGGCGUCGAUACAUAGCUGGUCUGAGAGGAUGAUCAGCCACACUGGGACUGAGACACGGCCCAGACUCCUACGGGAGGCAGCAGUGGGGAAUAUUGGACAAUGGGCGAAAGCCUGAUCCAGCAAUGCCGCGUGAGUGAUGAAGGCGUUAGGGUUGUAAAGCUCUUUUACACGGGAUGAUAAUGACAGUACCGGGAGAAUAAGCUCCGGCUAACUCCGUG
rnacentral:rRNA from 1 species